GGAAAAGGAGCCAUCAGCCCACCUCCCUUCUUGGAGCCCAACAUGCUAAGGUCAGACUGGGCUCCACUUCCCUCUCUAUCACCCACUCCCAAGUCAAUUUUUCAAUAUGACCUAUGCUUUGAGUCUUCCUGCCUCAGUCCUGAUAAAAGAGAAACUACAAGGGGCUGGGGAUAUUUCUCAGUUGUUAGAGUGUUUGCCUCACAUGCACAAGGCCCUGGAUUCAAUCCCCUGCACCGUGCCCACCCCCCCACACACACACAAGAGAAACUGCAACAGAGCAGGGGGCUUGCUUCCAGAAAACUAGUUGUUAACUAUUUACUAGCACACAACUGCCCCUAUUCUGUUUCUGCCAUCAACAAACUCUGUGAUUCAGGGAAGUCACUCAGUCCUUCUGAGCUUCAGUUUUCUAUCAGAUGGAAAUCUCAUAAUAUCUACCUAAUUGGAUUGCUGGGAGGAUUAAAUAUGAUUAUAAUCCUGUAACAUAAUUAGCAUAAUGUUUGGUUAUUAGUAAAUAAUUAAUAUACUUUAGUAUGGUUCUAGUCAUCUAUUGCUGCAUAACCAACCAACCUCAAAUUUUAGGAGCUUAACACACAUUUGAUUUGCUCAUGAAUCUAUAAUUUGGUCAUAACGUGGUGAAGAUAACUCAUAACCAGAGAGAUACAAAAGCUGGAGUUUGGAACCAUGUUAAUUCAUGCCUCUGGCAAUUGAUGCUGGCUCUCAGCUGGGAAUGCCAAGCAUAUACCUAUACAGGCUUCUCUGGGUAGCCCCAGCCUCCUUUCAAUAUGGUGUCUGGUUUUCCUGGUUUUCCAGAAAAAAGCUAGACGUUAGGUGUCUCACCAUUUGUAAUUUAGCCUUGGAAAACACACAGUAUCACUUUCUAUUUCUUAAAAACAAGAUUCUAAAUCUAGAGAGGAGAAUUAGAUUCCUCCUUUUGAUAAGAAGAGCAGGAAAGAAUUUGUGGACUUGUUUCUAAACCAUCACAGCUAUUAUUAGUAUCGUUGCUUUCAGUACACUCUAGCUUCUGUAAGUGAAUUAUCCCACUUCUUACUUCUGGGCUCCCUGUGGGAGGGUAGGGUCCAUUGGAUUUGUUAAGGUCCUUCCCCCUUAUCACUCUCCAAGUGAACCCAGAGCCCUUCCAACUGCAGAACUCAGUGAAUGUUAUAGAAGUGAAUUCUCUUCUUGCAGGAGCUGGCCCUGAAAAUUUAUGUUCCAAUUUCCUUGGAUGACAUCCCAGUUGGCCACAUAAAAACUGAGGUGAGAGACCUGGGCAGGACACAGUCCAGGAGGGCAGGAGACUUUACCAGCAGAGCUAUGACUCCAACAGGCCCUACUCAUCUUGGAGUGGUGGUGAUUGUGAUAGCAAGUUUAUGGCUUAAAGAAACUCUCUCCAAAGGCUGCUUUGAAGUUGGAAUGUCGUGAUCACUGUCUGGGAGUCAGAUCAGGGGUUCAGUAUAUAACUUCUUUCUUUGGUCUUAUUUCCUGUCAAAUUGAGAUAAGAAAAGCUUCAUGGAUUGUUCAUUUGGAACAGAUCACCCUAAUCUCUAGAAAGCCAGGUUGGAAGCCAAUUUCUUCUGGAUUGUGACUGAUGGGGGUCACAGUCUCUCUAAUAGGAAAAAAGAAUAGAAAAAUCCAAAGUGGAGCCAGGCACAGUGGCACACGCCUGUAACCCCUGCGGCUCGGGAAGGAGGCUGAGACAGAAGGAUCACAAGUUCAAAGCCAACCUCAGAAAGGGCGAGGCACUAAGCAACUCAGUGAGACCCUGUCUCUAAGUAAAAUAAGUACCCUUGAGUUUAAUCCCUGGUACAAAAAAAAAAAAAAAAAGGGCAAAGUGGAGAGAAAUGCCUUGCCUACUAUGGGACAUGAAUCUAUCUCACACUUUGAGAUCCAUAGAGCUGGGAUCUAACUCCAGGGAGAAGUGUGUGUGUGUGUGUGUGUGUGUGUGUGGUGUGUAUGGGAUGUUUGGGUAGGGACUUAGGGACUUCUUGGGGAAAAACCCAGGAAGGAAUGCCCCAGAAAACUCUUCAGUAGGAGGAGUUGGGAAGAGUUGGAGAGGUUCAGGGGAGUAAGGUAUAGAGCGUCAGGCCCAGCCCUUCAACUGGCCGGAGGCUCCUUUCAGCCUUAGCUGUCUCUCUCUGUUUCCCCUCCUGCCCAGCUUACGCCAACAGGUUCUUGUCCUUGCUCAGUGAUCUCCCUAGUAAGUCUAAGAUGGGUUGAGGCCCUGUGUGCCUGCCUGGGUGGAGAAAUUAGGGUCAGUCCUUCCUUCCAAGGCAGGACUUUCCAAGGGCAUCAGGACUUUGGCCUGUGCUAGUUCAUCACAGGGAAUGUCAAGGCCCUCUGGGCCUGUCUCCAACUAUGGAGUAACCCUAGGCACACUGGGGCCUCCACUCUGAGCCACGGUCUGCUCACUUGUGCAUAGCACAGUUGUCUUGAACAGUUUUUCCCAAAGUGUGGCUCAUGAAUCCUAUGGUCAGUAGGGAUAUUUAGGAGAAAAAAAAAUGGGCUUGAGCUCAUUUCCCCAGAAGCAGACCCCGAGAUAAAGCUUUGAGUGAAAGUGUUUCACUUGGGAGGGUGGUCCAGGAAGCACUCGUGGAAAGAGAGGAAGGUAGAUGGAGAAGGACACUAACAUAGGGUGUGCCGAGUAGAUUACUAUGGUGAGCAACUGUGACUCAUCCCCCUGGUACCUCUGGGAUACUAUCUUACCUAUGGCAAGUUAAGGGCCUGUAUUCAGGGCACUGUCAGCCUGUUCUGUGCGCCUGCAGCCAGAAACCUCCAAGGGUGAGAGUCAUCUGUGCUUGCAGUGAGAAGUCCUCAGCACGUGUGAGAAUUGUGAGGACUAAGGGGAUAUGAUCGAGGCACAGGCAGGAGUUGCUACAGGGACAAGGAUUUUGUUCACUACUCUUCAUACGUGAGAGAUCAGUGAUAGUUUCCAUAGAAAUACUGUUACCUUUAUGGUAAUUAUCAUGGUCUUCAAAGUGCACCUGGGCCACCAAAACUGAGUUGUCCGGUUCAGCUUAGCUUAUAUCUAGUAAAGAGAACACCACUAGUUGUAGACCAACUGGCUAAAAUAUUCCCACACCAGUUUCAUAUUAUUGCCUAUGUUUGUUUUGUUUUCAUUGUAUUAGUAGUAUUACAUGGUGGUAUGACUCCAAGCCCUAAAGAUGGAUCAUCAAUGCAUAAAAAUAGCAUUGAAAAAUAGUUAUACGGCUGGGGAUAUUGCUCAGUUGGUAGACUGCUUGCCUCACAUAUACAAGGCACUGGGUUCAAACCCUAGCACCACACAAAAAAAAAUUAGUUAUAAAUAUUGUAAAAUAAAAUGUGAUUAGAUAUACUAGAGCCAAUGAGUAUGAAGGAGCUGAGUUAAACAAACAAAAAAGAAAAGAGAAGCGUGAAUCAGAAAGAAAGUUAUGUGACUCAAUAUCCAGAAAUGGGAUUUUUAAAAAAUAGUUAUUUUUUAGUUGUAUUUUUUUUUUUUAAUGUCGUGCUGAGGAUUGAACCCAGGGCCUCGCCUGUGCUAGGCAAGCACUCUACCGCUGAGAAAUGGGAUUUUGUUAGUUGAUCUGCAUUUCUUGCAGUCCCUGAGGCAUUGUCUAUUUGCACUAUCUUUGCAUCAGGCCCUGUAAGCUAUUAGAAAUUUGUUUUUCUAGCAUAGGAGUAAAAGAGGCUCCAGCAUGAUAGUCAUGCAUUUUCUCAACAAAGAAAGAAAAGAUAAAACCCCUAGAGGGAUCAUUAAAGUUGUCCAACUUACAGUGAGGACCAACACAAUUGCAAAUCCAAAUGGAGUCAGAGGCUACUAAGGAAUAUUUUGAUCAGAAAAAAAAGCACAGCAUGCUCUUGGCAAAAUUACUUGAUCAAACCCCACUUUCAGAUGACGCAUAAAAUCAAUGACACACAAUGUGAAAGAGCGAUUGUUGUCCCCAGCAAGUACUAGCAGACAAUUGGCUUUAUUGUUGAAUAAAACCACUUGUGGCAAGUCUUGUUCGUUGUCCAUCCAGAAUUCAUUCCUUUCCUUCUUUCUUAAUAAUAGAUCCUUGAUUUUGGUCCAUGCACCAAAGUCUCCAGCUCAGGCAAUCAAUUAUAAGUGAUCCAAAUCAAUCAUGACCAAUCCACUUCCCACUUCCCCAGUCCGUUCCCUUCGUGCUACCGGAGACCACGAGACCCAGUUCUGGCCAAUUAAAUGUGAUGGGACAGUUGGGUGCUGUGGUGCACACUUGUAAUCCCAGCUAGCCAGGAGGCUGAAGCAGGAGGAUUUCAAGUUGACAAAGUCAGACUCUGCACUUUAGUGAGAUUCUGUAUCAAAAUAAAAAAUAAAAAGGGCUGGGGAUGUAGCUCAGUGGUAGAGUGAUCCUGGAUUCAAUACUUAGUACUGCCAAAAAACAAACAAACAAACAAACCACUGAUGGAAUAUCUGCUGAGGAUCCUUCUCUGAGAACUUCUGUUUUCUCAACAAAUUAGUUGUACACGCCAGCCCUCCUCUUCCCCUGUCUUCCUAACUUGAACACAGUCAUGGUGCCUGGUGCUGGACAGCCAUCUUGUAAAUAUGACAUAACCAGAACAAAGCAAAGUAAAGGUUGAGAGAAUUAUUGAGCCACUGAAUGCAUGUGAGUGUUUGCCUGCUUGUUCACAGCCCAGAAGUCAAUCUAUCCUUCUGCUGAAAGCCAUUGUAAAUCAAGGUUUCUACUACUAGUAGUUGAGAGCAUCUCUGAUGGGCGUACCACUGGCAUGUGGAAUAUAUGUUAGCUGUCUACAUCUUUUCAAAAGGCAUGAGAGAAAUGUGCUUGAUGACUUUUUGUUCUGUUUAUUCCUGAAUUCCUUUGCAAGAUUAGAGAUGAGCUCUCGGGUCCAGCCGGCUUCAGCCAUGAGGAACCCCAGCAGGAAAUGGAGAAGGAAGAGAGUGAGAUGAGGCACCUGAUCGCCUGGUGACCUGCCUGUGAGUCCCCAUGGGUUGUGUGCAUGCUUCAAGAGGCCAUUGUUCCUCCAAAGGCAGCCCCUUCUACCAGUUUUCUCCCUUCUGAUCAUGUCCCCAGUUCUCUCCCCUCUUGCUUCAGAUCAAAUGGUAGAAACAACUCUGCUGCUGCUCACACAGGUUGCAUACUGUCCCGUGGGGUGCUCCUACAUCCACAUGUGUGUAAAUAAGCCUUCCCCAAAUAAACCAGUUUUGAGUGCAUCAUUAUCUUUUUGUAUGCUGACCCAUCAAGCAGCAUCAAUUCACAGAUUCAAAACAAAACAAAACUUGCAUCUGUGCAUCAAACCAC
rnacentral:lncRNA from 1 species